UUUAAAAAUAAGGUACACGAAGGUUUGCCUAGGCGUGACCACACUAGAUUAUUUCAACCUGGGCAAGCCAUUAACACUAACUCAAAGCGCGAAUCCAACUCUCUGGUUGUUUCAAUCAACUUGCACAAAAUGCGCACACAACACACUACGCACAAAUACGGUAAUAUUAUAUGAUCUAUAUACAUGCUUUUAAUUUAAAUACUCUUCAAAAUUCACUGUUAUUAAUAAUUUCUUUCUCCGCAAUUUAUUUAUCAAUCAUUUCUCAUCUCCACCUUCUCUCUACAAUUCACUAAUUCUCAUACCCACUUUUAGCUAAUUUUAAUUUGUGUACAAACCUAAUCUUGUUUAACAUAUAAUUCAUAAUACCCAAUUUAAUUUCUAAUCAAACUAAUGGUAGAAUGAACACUAAUUACUGAAAUUUAAUAACUCACGCUCCAAUUUUUUUUUUUCUCGCGUCUUUUCUGGUUUCUCUUCCCGUCUCUCGCUCCUCGCUAUCGUCUUUGUUUUGUUCCUUCUUCUUUUGCGCUGAGUUUCCUUCCUUCUCUCUUCAUCUUUCCUCUCGUCUUCCUCUCUCUCCUUUUUUCCCCUUUACCUCUUUCUUUUUUUCUUUUUUCCUUUCCAAACACUAUAGGUACAAUGCCGACAAACCAUCAAUUUUUUUAAUUAAAUUACAAUACACCUUUCCCUUCUAAUUUCGGAUUCUUCUUUGAUUAUCUCACAAUUGUUUAAAAUCUUUCAAUUUAAUCGCAACUAAGUUAAGUAUUCAACGCUAAUUGUACCCGUAACUUUAAUUAAUAACAUUUUACUGUUUCCCCCGCACCUACACGCCUCCCUAUAUAACGGCACGUGGCUUCACCGUCAAUAAACUAGAACUAACGAAUUAUUAAAUAAGAAUUAACUAUAUAAUUUAUCAUUGAAUGAAACUAAUUAAUGAUUAAGGAUUUAGGGUCUCACAAAACUCUCCCUCUCCCCGCCUUAAUAAAAAUUUCGCCCCGAAAUUCUCACAUCUGUGAUAGAAAUCUACCACGAUCUCAUAUACCUCGAACUCUCCUAAGUCGCCUCAUCGACUUAGAACUUUCUUCAUAUUCAAUUUGGCACAAAUCGAUCCAAUACAAUUGGAAUUCUCACCCAUACUAUCUCAACAAAACGAAGUCCACCCAAAUAAUAUAUUAAGAAGAAGUUCUCCCUAAACACAAUAUAAUCCAUCGCCUGCCCAAUUAUUCAGAGGCCUCAAUAUUAAUUAAUAAGAGUAUUAAUCCUCAAUCUGUUUCACUAUUCCAUAAAUUUCAAUAUGCUACCCCGCUACCGACUCAUCUUAAUUCUCUUGCCAACUUCUGCCAUUUACUAACAUUGAUACUACUCGAUCAUGCCGCUACAAACUCUACAUUUGUAAUGGUCUCAUCUUCUUAUCCACAUAUUAACUCUAUUUUUAAAUCCCAACAGUUUCAUUUCUCUCAACAUCACUCUAACACAACAGGUCAAUCCAUCUCCAAUAUACAAACUCUCCAAAUGUCAUACAAAAAAACUAUGUCUGGUAAUUGUAAAUUCCAUUAAAGUUAAGUAUUCACUCAAUUAUGUUGAAGUACAACCGAUGAUACCAUAUCAUACCUCUUCAAAUAUCUACAUAAUCCUCUGUGACUACCCAUUCCCGAACACCCAUCGUGCGACCAAUGCUUCUCAUGCCAACCAAGAUCUUAUUAGUUAUGAGGAGUUUUGCCAGAUUUCAACACCAUUGCCACAUUCAAUCACGUCAUCAAUGAAUAUGACUUAUAACAAUUUUUAUCAUAUAAAUGUUUAAAGUCACCACAAUGCUCACGCACAUAGGUUUUCCCACCAAUUGAGAUAUAAAAAUCACUCCAUUAACAUGUAAUAUUUUCUGAAUGCAUGUAUGAUUACAACAACAAUAAACAGCGCUUUAGAUAUCAUGAAUGUCCCGGACACUCUUGUAGGCUAGUCCACCGUGACUAAGCCUUAGGUUUAGCCCGCACCCGUGGCUAUACCUUUCUCAUUACUAUGGCGUUAUGCACACAAUAUGAAUGUAAACGCAAUAUCACCAUCAUAACUCAACGAUCAAUAUCCUAUUAUAUGUCAGCACAAGUCGGCCACACCAACAUCAACACCAUAUAGUACACAACAUCAUCACCAAUAUUGAAUGCAAUAUCAUAUCAAUAUAAUAACAAUUUCAAUAUAGAUAAGUUACAUAAGUCUACCAGCAUAAACCACUUUAAUCAUCUAAGACAUAUGAGUAAAUUGUCUCAAACUCUCACCUUACUACAAUCAUUAUCUUCCUCUGCUAGUCAGUGCAAUAUUAACAACUAUAGUUUUUUAAUUGAGUUCAACCACUCCCACAAUAUGUCCUUUAAGCCUGAAUAAUAUUUUCCUCUCUUUACGAUAGUAACACAUUCUAAAAUCUGAUGUGAGGCAAUUAUUCUAAAAGCACAAUCCUCACUCCUAGACAGCAUAGUCAACAAACAAAAUCUGAAACCAGUUUAAUUUUCAACAUUAAUUUUCUUUUUUCUUUCUUUCUUUCUUUCUUUCUUUUUUUUUCUCCUUUUUUUUUUUCUUAUCUUCUAAUCUUUUGUCCCCCCACUAAGCCCAAUUGGUUUUUUUCCUUUCAAAAAUUACACUUUUGUUUUCUUCCUUCUCAAAUUUUGAAAUUCUUUAAUUUCAUUUCAAAAUUUUUGAAGUUUUCAUUUGAACCCCACACUUACAUUCAAAGAUAUUAUUAUCAAUAUAGAUCAUACUCCCCAAACACUUCCUGUAAUUUCAAUAUCCAGAUGAACUGAAUAGGCACACGUUUUGUAGUCAAUCCAAUAAUACAACUCUAACUACCAAAUACUUUCAUAUCUUUUAUGAUUCCUCUUCCAUUUUUCUAUCAUAAUCUCAAACAUUUCAAAAUUACAAUGUGUCAUUACACCCAGUCACCUUCACACCUUCAUCAACUUGCUUUAUUCAUAAUCAUUCUUCAAUUUUCAUUAUACGUUUCCAAUAUACACAUUCAACUUUGUUUCAUCUCAAUAAACUCAAACCUCACAAGGGUAAUGCAUUCCACAUAGCCACUUAAUUUCAUCAUGGUCCCUCAAAUGAAAAAUCAGUACAACACCAUAAAUCUUUCAUUCAAAAAAAUUUCAUUGUUUAUAUCAGAAACAUAACGCCCAUAAAAUGAUAACCAUCCUCAGUCCCACUUCCUAUAACGAAAAGACCACUCACUCCCAAUACCACACUAAGCACUAUCGAUGGGCCUUAUCCCAUUUUCCUCAUUGCAUUUAACAUAAAUUCACAGUCCUUCUUUUCUUCAAAAAUAAAAUAAAACUCACCCAUAUGCUAUUCAUAAACUCCAAUACAUAUUAAAGACCUUGAAAUCUUAAUUCACAAAUCAGAACUCUUUCACUUUAGAACUACAAUUGGUCCACCACUAAAUACAAAAUCAAACACAUAACACCAGUUAUUAUUAUUUUCUUAUUAUUUUAUUUUUAUUUUUAUUUUUAUAAGUACCCACCGCCACACCCAUAGAAGAACUUGAAUCCUCUGAAUUCUGACUAUAUAAUCUCAAGUACAAUCAUAAUAUCUCCCAACAAACCUACAAUACAUUCAACAUCCUCUUAUAACUAUAUAAUUAAGGAUUUAUAAUUCUACGAUACCAAUAGAUUACCACCUCUCUUUACUAUCUUCUUUCAAAAUUUUACACACGGUCUAAAUUUUAGCUCAAUGAGUUGGGUUUAAAUCAAAUUCAAAGUCCACAGAAAUCAAAGGAUGGAAUUAGGAACUAAUCAGAUAUCUGAAUUGAAAUUGCAAUCGGCCAAUUAUGCACUCAACACAAACACCAAGAUCAGUCACCCAAAAAGGCUCAAAAAAACAAUAAAUAAAGAUAUCAACAGAUCACUCUCUACACUACGAUGAUCAGUAUCAACAAUCUCAUUCACUAACCCUAUCUCAGGACAUCCAAAAUUCCACUCAAUCAAUAGCAAGAAUCCAUAAUGUACAACUUGCUGACUUAUAGAAGUGAGACUUCACAUAUAUCGCUACUCUUGAUAUUAUGAUAGAUACUCAUCAAUAUUCUCAACUUAUCAUAUUAUCCGCAACAAAAUACUAACUCAAAAUAAGAUAAACACUGCAUACUUAAACUACCAUUGCUGCAAUUGGUAAUCAUCGAACGCAAGUAAUACAAAAUUACCAAAGAAUCAAAUUCAUAUUCUACAAUGUUUUUUUUUUCUCCAAGUUUUCAUACACCUCGUUAUAAUACCACUUCUCACUUCCACACGAUAUUCUCUAUAGUGUAAAAAACAAAUAUAUUGGUGUCUUCUGAUUAUAUUAAUGCUCACUGAGUUCAAUGAUUCAUAACACAUACUCUUAACACCCUGAAUCCAUAGUUCAGAGAUACGCCCAUGUCACAACGGGAAUACUGAUAACAACCUCUUUCUCAAUUUUCACUAAAUGGGUUCUCUUCUGGCCAUUCUCUCUGCACUCAUUCAAUAGUAGUACCACACUUAUAGACCCACAUCACCUUAUCUACUUAAGCCGACACAAACACCCCUAUGGUUCCUGCAAUCCUAGACAAACAACAACCACCCACACCACACAGCCUCGGUUUAUAGACUUUGGCUUGGAAACUAAAACCACAGCUCUGAUAAACCAAACUGUCACAUCCCCCAAACCUAAUUAAACAUAAUUAAUCUAAUUAAUGGGAUGUGAUCGCACAGGUCAACCAUACCUGCGACGACUCCGGAUUUCCUCCACAUACUCCAAUGGACUAACAGAUAUUAUUAAAAACAAAUACUAUAAGAUUAACAUAUAUCCUACACUACAUAGAAACAUACCAUCUGUAAAUAUAAGACAUUUUAUACAACCAACUAAGUUCUGCCCACAACAUCCAACCAACCAGGAAUCCACACAGCUAGGACUAUGACCACAUGAUCCGACCCUAUCCAUAAUCUCCUCACCUGACAAAACAAUCUUGUGUGGGUGUGAGCCUAAAUAUCCACGUGCUCACAAUAGAUCAUCAAUUCAUAUAAAAUGAUGAAGAAACAAACAACACAUCAUAUAAAUAUCCAACAAAAUUAAAUGUUCAAUUGCAUAAGCAUCACCCACAUUGCGCCAAGUUUAGAUAACGUUUUGCCCAACAUUUGUUGCUCGUUAUCAAUGAAUGCCCACCGUGGCCCCCUAGGCUAGUCCACACCGUGACUAAGCCUUAGUUAACCCCCCACCGUGGUUAACUUUCACCAGUCAAUGCAAGCACACAGAUAAUGAUAUGCAUUGCACAAUCCACCUCACCGAUAUAAUCCACAGAUAUAAAUCAUUAUUCACCAUCGUAUAAAUUCACCAAAUCAUCAAAUCAUCAAUCUAUAAAAGACAAGCAAUUCAAUAUGAAUACGAAUUAUCUUAUAUAUUAUUUUCCCACCUGCCACCUCAUAUUUAUAUCAUUAUCAACAUGAUUAUAUAAUCAUCACAUAAAUAUAAUCAACCACCACAAUCAAUAUCACCUCAUAGAUAAUUAUCAUCACCACCAUCGUAAACAGAGCAAGCAAUUCAGUAUGAAUAAGAUCAUCUAUAUCCCACAUAUCCCACCUGUUACCGGCAUACCAAUUUAGUCACUCCUCUCGUUAACCCAGAGUAAUUUGAUCCGCUUUAUCCAAAAACCUAUAACAAAAUAAUUUUCACAUAUUAAUCCAUCCCUACUUGUAAUAUAUAGCCGAUGGAUUUGUAUAAACUAUUACCAAUUACAACCUAGAAAUUUUCAAGACGUCGACCAUGUUUCACAUUUCAAACCGUUGAUCGUUACUAAUCACGCUCUUAUCACUACCGUCACCACUUUAUGAAUACUUUAUUCUAAACUUUGAAUUUGUCCAAACUGACCCCAUAAUUAAGAUUCAGAAGGCGACAUUGAAACGACUAUUCACACAAUACUAAAAUUCAUCCGUUUUGACAAUUUUAAAAUAAGGUACACGAAGGUUUCCUAGGCGUGACCACACUAGAUUAUUUUCAACCUGGGCAGCCAUUAACACUAACAGAAGCUGCGAAUCCAACUCUCUGUUUGUUUCAACUUGCACAAAAUUGCGCACACACACACAUACGCACAAAUACGUGUAUAUAUAUAUAGAUCUAUAUACAUGCUUAUUUAUUUAAAUACUCUUCAAAUCAACUUUAUUAAUAAUAUUCUCAAUUUAUUUUCAAAUCAAUUUCUCAUCUCCACCUUCUCUCU
rnacentral:lncRNA from 1 species